rnacentral:rRNA from 1 species
AGCGAACGCUGGCGGCAGGCCUAACACAUGCAAGUCGAACGGACCUUUCGGGGUUAGUGGCGGACGGGUGAGUAACACGUGGGAACGUUCCUUUAGGUUCGGAAUAGCUCCUGGAAACGGGUGGUAAUGCCGAAUGUGCCCUUCGGGGGAAAGAUUUAUCGCCUUUAGAGCGGCCCGCGUCUGAUUAGCUAGUUGGUUGAGGUAACGGCCCACCAAGGCGACGAUCAGUAGCUGGUCUGAGAGGAUGGCCAGCCACAUUGGGACUGAGACACGGCCCAAACUCCGACGGGAGGCAGCAGUGGGGAAUCGUGCGCAAUGGGCGAAAGCCUGACGCAGCCAUGCCGCGUGAAUGAUGAAGGUCUUAGGAUUGUAAAAUUCUUUCACCGGGGACGAUAAUGACGGUACCCGGAGAAGAAGCCCCGGCUAACUUCGU